rnacentral:rRNA from 2 species
AGUCUAACAUGUGCGCGAGUCAUUGGGACAUAAGAAACCUAAAGGCGCAAUGAAAGUGAAGGUCGUACCUUGCGUCGACCAAGGGAGGAUGGGCCGCGUUACGAUGCGGCCUCGCACUCCCGGGGCGUCUCGUUCUCAUUGCGAGAAGAGGCGCACCCAGAGCGUACACGUUGGGACCCGAAAGAUGGUGAACUAUGCCUGGUCAGGACGAAGUCAGGGGAAACCCUGAUGGAGGUCCGUAGCGAUUCUGACGUGCAAAUCGAUCGUCGGAACUGGGUAUAGGGGCGAAAGACUAAUCGAACCAUCUAGUAGCUGGUUCCCUCCGAAGUUUCCCUCAGGAUAGCUGGCACUCGCUCGUUCCUCUAUUGUGAACGCGUGCGAGUCUCAUCUGGUAAAGCGAAUGAUUAGAGGCCUUGGGGCCGAAACGACCUCAACCUAUUCUCAAACUUUAAAUGGGUGAGAUCUCUGGCUUGCUUGAAUUUACACUGAAGCCACGAGAUGAUUUGGAUCAGAGUGCCAAGUGGGCCAAUUUUGGUAAGCAGAACUG